UAAACAAAAAUAAAAUAAAACAAAACAAAAAAUAAAAAAAACCCACAAAUAAGCAAGUUUAUCUUCAAAGAACUCACCUUGCAUAUUCUAGUGACGUUGUUGCUCAAGCCAUUUGGGGAACUAUUCUUUUAGAAUUGCCCAGCAGAGCCCGUAGCAUGUUAUUUUGGCUCUCUUUUGUGGUUACAAUGUUUGUAGCAGGUGGAUUUUACUUUUAGAGCACAAAGUCAUGGACAACUAAGCAUACUCGGUAAGGUGGCUAAUUGAAUUGAACCAGAAAUUUGGACUCCACAGUAACAGCCACACACAUACAUGCACAGGCACAUACAUGUGCACACAUGCACACACACUAGGUUGCUUUUUCUGCACAUUUCCUAGAUUAAACCAGAAAACAACUCUAAAAUUAGAGCCAUCAAUAUUUUUAAGUGGUAACACAGUUGAAUGAGAGAAUAAUCUUCAAUGGUAACAUCAUUAAAGAUAAAAAUAUUGAAAUGAGAAAUAUAAGUUCUACCAUAUUUGUUUAAAAGUGUAUCCAGCUAUUUGAUAAUGAUGUUUAAUUCCAAAGUUAAUUGUGAUAAUUCUAAAUUCAAAGUUUUAUCCAUAUUGCAGAUUUUCCCAUGGGAGGUUCUAGUAACAAAGUGGGGUAUAUGUUGAAAGAAGAGGUCGUCACCUUGGUUUUAAGCUUCUUAUUGAGUACCUAAUGAGUUUCUGGUCUCAUUGGCACCAUAUGUUAAACUCAAUGAAUAGCAAGGGUAUCUAUGCUGGUUGUAGCCAUCCUCUGAAUGCUAAUGAUUCAUGUUUCUUAAAGUUUAGAAAAAUCAUUUUACUUUUGAUUUGCUAGACUUCCCCCCAUUUUAUCUGUAUUCAAAAGGGGUGUUGGAUUGACAACACCAAAGCUCUCCUUGAUGCCAAAAAGUAAGUAUACAGAACUGAGCUAGAACAUCCAUGAAACUACUUAGCUAUGCCUGCAGGCAACGGGGAGAAACCCCGAAGGACCUAACUCUACUACCUUGUAGACAGUGUAGAUGAAGCAGCUUCCAUUGUGAACUCCUUGACAUGCUAUGUGGCUUCUGACACCCCCCCAUGCCUCAGUUUCCUCAACUGCCAAAUGGGCACAGAAGGACAAAUACUUGUCUCACAAGGCAUGGCAAAGUUGAAACACAGUGGUGCUCAGCACAAUGUGUGGCACAUAUUAAAGCAUUCAAAUAAUGGUGACAUUGCCAUCAUCGUCAUCACCCGUCAUUAUCAUUGUCUUUAUAACCCUUUCAGCACCCGCCACAGUGCCUAUUUCAUAAAAGCACAAUAAAUGUUCUCUCAUAUUACUGUCAUCCUUGUAUCCUUUUCAUCACUUAGCACAGAGCUUGGCAUGCAGCCAGUAUUCAAUAGAUGAAUAUGAAGCAAGGGCAAGAAUCCACUUUUAACAAUGUGCUUGCCAGACAUAACUGAUAUUGGAUAUUCAGAAAAGUGACAUUGAACAUUAUUUUUCUAAUUAAUUAAAACCUUCCUAUUCUUCUAGUAUGUGCUCUAAGAGAGAGGCAGUAGAGUGUGGUUACAAGUACAGAUGUGAGAGCCAGACUAUCCGGGUGCAAAUCCCGGUUCUGCUGCUUGUUUGCUAUGGAGUCUGGGAUAAUUUCCCUAUUCUCUCUGUGCCUCAGUUUCUUCAUCUGUAAGAUAAUAGUUCCUUCUUUACAGGGUUGUUUGAAGUAUUAGAGAGUUUAUACAUGUAAGAGAUUAGAAUAUACCAGGCAAAUACCAAGUGUCAUAUAAGUAUAUGCCCAGGAAGAGAAGAACUUUAAAAAGAGUUGAGGCAGAGCCCUCCUUCUCAGAGAAGCUCUCAAGUCCUCAAGGAUCCAGGUAUGCCCACAAGCCAUGCAAGAGUAUGAAGGAAAAAUCAAUUGUAUGUGACGAACUGAGAGCAGAAGCCAUGAUAUGCUGAGACAGGUUUGACAACCAGCUCUCUGGGAGAACAAAGCUGGAUUUGUAGCUUCACCAAUUGCUGUGGUGUAAGUACUCCUGCCAUGGCUGACUUCAAGCCACCCCUGUGACUUCCCUGAAUGUGAAGCUGAGAAAAGAUACAAAACAUGCAUACAAUUGGUUCUUGCAGGCUGAUAUGAGCAGGCUGCGGGAUACUACUGGGUGGAAACUUCAACAAUCCAAGGGAGAACACCGUGGACUGAAGAUACAAGUACAUGGUAAGAUCAACUUCCUGACCUUGUGACAGAUCCUGCCAGUAACACGAGAGGAAAUGAGAAUGAGGCUUUGGAGCACAACAUUGGAUUGCUCGUGCAGAACACUGCCCAGUGUCCUUUUCCUUUGCCAUAAUGAACAGCUGUGCUGCAGGUGAUGGCUGCUCUGUCAAUGUGGAUCCUGCAGAUGACAUGGCAUGGAUCCCCCAGCAGACCAUGAGAGAGCAAACAAAAAGUCCAUAUGUGUUGUGCUAAUCCACUGAGAUUGUGUUGGUUGUUAUGGAGCCUAACCUAGCCUAUCCAGACACGAGGAUCAGACAUGAGAAUCAAAUGUGUUUAUAAAGAGUUGGAUGGAAAUACUCUGACAGCAUUAAAAGACUCUCCCCAAGG